UACGAAGGGUGCAAGCGUUACUCGGAAUUACUGGGCGUAAAGCGUGCGUAGGUGGUUUGUUAAGUCUGUUGUGAAAGCCCCGGGCUCAACCUGGGAAUGGCAAUGGAUACUGGCAAGCUAGAGUGCGGUAGAGGGUAGUGGAAUUCCCGGUGUAGCGGUGAAAUGCGUAGAGAUCGGGAGGAACACCAGUGGCGAAGGCGGCUACCUGGACCGACAUUGACGCUGAUGAGCGAAAGCUAGGGGAGCAAACGGG
rnacentral:rRNA from 1 species